GCAUAAGUAACAGGUCGUAGACCCGAAACCAGGUGAUCUACCCAUGUCCAGGAUGAAGGUAAGGUAAUACUUACUGGAGGUCCGAACCCACGCACGUUGAAAAGUGCGGGGAUGAGGUGUGGGUAGCGGAGAAAUUCCAAUCGAACUUGGAGAUAGCUGGUUCUCUCCGAAAUAGCUUUAGGGCUAGCCUCGAGGUAAAGAGUCAUGGAGGUAGAGCACUGUUUGGACUAGGGGCCCUUCUCGGGUUACCGAAUUCAGAUAAACUCCGAAUGCCAUGUACUUAUACUCGGGAGUCAGACUGCGAGUGAUAAGAUCCGUAGUCGAAAGGGAAACAGCCCAGACCACCAGUUAAGGUCCCCAAAUAUAUGUUAAGUGGAAAAGGAUGUGGGGUUGCUUAGACAACCAGGAUGUUGGCUUAGAAGCAGCCACCAUUGAAAGAGUGCGUAAUAGCUCACUGGUCGAGUGACCCCGCGCCGAAAAUGUACCGGGGCUAAACAUAUUACCGAAACUGUGGAUGAACCUCUUUAGAGGUUCGUGGUAGGAGAGCGUUCUAAGGGCGGUGAAGUCAGACCGGAAGGACUGGUGGAGCGCUUAGAAGUGAGAAUGCCGGUAUGAGUAGCGAAAGAAGGGUGAGAAUCCCUUCCACCGAAUAUCUAAGGUUUCCUGAGGAAGGCUCGUCCGCUC
rnacentral:rRNA from 1 species